GUUUUUCUUUCUUUUUUUUUUGUGAGAAAGGGCUUCCGUUUAGCCAUACUACCCCAUGUUUUCACAGGUUGGAUGUUAAGCUGUUUAAUCCUGAUAUCUCCACAGGUUGAAUAUCUUAUUUAAAUUCAUGUUUAAAAACUCAAGUGGAAGUACUAUGAUUGAUUUAUACUCCAAAGAAUAAUCACCUAGAGUCAUUAACAGAGCACUAUUGACACUCAGUCUGACCAGGUUGGGUAUGAUUGUAAUGGAGGAAACAAAUAAUGAAUUCAAUCACUUUAAAUUUUUAAUUAAAGCUUACACACUUCAACCAAGUUUAGAACUAUACUCUUUUUGUUGUUGUUGUUCUUGAUUUACGCUCAUUAUCGCCAUUUACAGAGAGGCAACAUGCUUGCUUUUUCCUCAUUACAAAAGGAUAUACAUAUUUUAAAUGUUUAGACACUAAGACAAGUGUGCAUUCCACAUGUGCUUUGGAAAACACAAUUCUGUCUUGUAAAUGUCCUGUUAGGCCAACAACAACAACAACAAAAUCCUCCUGGUCAUCAACAUUCAAGACAUGUUUUCUGUCCCAAUGGAAAGUUCAGGGAGACAGAUGCACAUGCAGAAAUCAGAAAAAAACUAGAAAAAAACAAACAAACCAAAAAAAUACUAAAUAUAAACAAACAGUGUAUAAACCAAACGCGUAAUUAAAAUGAGAAACAAAAACAUAACUUGACUUGAUAUAAUGCUCCAGCACCUGAGGGUAAAAACAGGGAAAUUGAAUAGAGCACAAAUCAAGCAGGGAACUAACAAACACACGGGUAUGGUUACACAGAAAAUGAGGGAGACAACAGAAGAAGAAGUUCUACAUGGGGAUGCAAGAGAAGAAGUUGUUCUACAUGGGGGCCGCAGCAGGGAACUAACAAACACACGGGUAUGGUUACACAGAAAAUGAGGGAGACAACAGAAGAAGAAGUUCUACAUGGGGAUGCAAGAGAAGAAGUUGUUCUACAUGGGGGCCGCGGGUGCCCUCUAGUGGUCCUGGAAUGGAACUACCGCUGGGAGGCCAUGACACAUUCAGGACUACAAUUAUGAUUAUGAGAGGGAAAAAUAUCCCUCUGUGAUUAUCAUUAUUUAGUAAACUAUUUUAUUACAAAAAAACUAUUGUUCUUUAUUUAUCCAGUGUAUACGAUAUGAAAAGGAAAGUAUGAAUAUCCGUCUGAAAUCCUCUCAGUACAACUGCAAUCAC
ensembl:lncRNA